AAUAGCCUAACGGCUGAACCAGCAACUUGGAGGAAUGUAUAUCGACUCUGUCGAAUAAAAUUCUGGUUAAGUUAUGAUAAUGACAUUUCUUAACUAUAUGUCUUGACCAAAUCACGUGCCAGCAGUCGCGGUAAUACGUGGAAGACAAGUGUUAUUCAUCUUUAACAGGUUUAAAGGGUACCUAGACGGCAAAUCAAGCCCCAAAAGGGUACUAAUUUACUAGAGUUUAAUAAGAGAGGGGGAGUACUAAUGAGUGUAGAGAUGAAAUGCUAUGAUACCAUUAGGGACAGACAAAGGCGAAGGCGACCUUUUACAAAAAACUGACGUUGAGGGACGAAGGCUUUAUUCAUUAACAGGAUUAGAUACCCAAGUAGUUAAAGCAGACAAUGAUGAAUGUCAUAGAUUAAUAAUCUUAAUCUAUAAAUGAAAGUGUAAGCAUUCCACCUCAUGAGUAAUGUGGCAACGCAGAAACUGAAAUCAUUAGACCGUUUCUGAAACCAGUAGUGAAGUAUGUUGUUUAAUUAGAUGAUCCGCAAAAGACCUCACCACAAUUUGUAUAUUAUAUUAUUAUAUAAUACAAGCGUUGCACGGCUGUCUUCAGUUAAUGUCGUGAGAUUAGGUUAGUUCCAUUAAAUUAACGUAAACCCUUUCUUUAUUUAUAUUAUAAAGUAGAUCGCCGAUAUAUUGGAUAUGAUAAAAGGGACUAAGACAAGUCAUCAUGGCCUGAAUAUUGUGGGCGAUAGACGUGCCACAUAAUCGGAGACAAAGGGAUGCAAAAUUGUGAAAUUGAGCUAAUCCCAAAAAAUCCGACAAAAUAU
rnacentral:rRNA from 1 species